GCAGCCUCUCCUACCAACCCAGCGCAUAAAGCCACUGCCCCACUCUUCCCACCCAGACACCCAAAAAUCGAACCCCGCAAUAGCGCGUGCGUGCGGUUCGGGUGGCAUUGCGGCCGGCGGCGAGCUGCUGCUGUCAAACUGCGGCGCGCGGCGCCGUCGCCGGCGUCUUGAGGAACAGUCGUCAGCGGCGGGCUGCGCGGCGGGCCGGCUCGAGACUAGGCGGCACCGGCGGCUAGGGCGGCUGCCGCGACGACGACGACUUGGGCCUGAGGAGGAGUAGCUCGACAAGCUCGAGUGGGACGCCUACCGCGAGCUCGUCGAGCGCCAGGCUCCCUCCUCCACCGCCUCCACCUCUCCCGCGACCUCGCCGCUGCGCAAUCCCACCUUCUAUACGGCAAGACCAGGGUCUGAGCGGCGGCAGCGACUGCUUUGAGGACGACGACCGAGGCCUGAGCAAGGAGCAGCCCGACAAUGGUGCCUUGCAUAAUUCUUCUUCUCCUUGGUCUAUUUCAAUACUCGUGCAGUGUGUUCUCUACUCACCUCUGUGGUUGAUGGUGGCGGCCAUUGGACUUGUUGCUGGCCGGCGGUUUUGUACCUUGUAACCUGCAAGGUGGUGGUGACGGAUAUUCUUCCUCAUGUGUUUCUUGUCUUGCUUGAUCCGAGGCUGGUAAUCCUGCGAGACCUGAGGGCGUUGACUGGACGCAGAGGAAAGUCGCUUCCUGCUGCUACUACGAGCCAACUCCUAGUGCAGAGGAAGCCACAAGGAAACUUCCGCUGAAUCAAUUUUCUGAGCAUCAUGGAUGGGGCGAUGCUGCACCACCACCAUCAGCUCCCAGCAAUUCUGCAGCAUCACCUGGUUGAGAAAUAGGUGAUGUAUAUAUAGCUAAGCGGAGAAGGACCACGUCCGACCACGUCUAAUCACCAAGCUAGCCGCAUGAUGUUCCCUCGUUUCCUCCUAAGCGCCGUCGUAGCAGCCGGCCGCUGGCGCCACAAGGAUUUUCGUCGCCACCCUUGCAUGCGCCUGAGUUAUUCCUGCUUUUUCCAGCAACGCACAUCAAAGCUUGCAGGCCUAGGCCCUAUCGUCGCCUCCUUCCCAGCCACUGCCGUUCUGGGUAUAGAUUCCAUGCCAAACGCUCUCUCUCCAUCACGAAGCUCCUGCCAUUGCCAUGAUCCCUCCUUCUCCAUGGCUCUUUCUUGGUUAGGUCCAUCACUGCACAGAUGCAUGUGGCUUGCUCUGUUGAACAUGGUGGUAUACAGAUCUUACACAUCGACAUAUAUUUUGACCAUAGAACUAUAGCUCAGGUAACAUACAUGCCUCUCUACCCAGUCAGCUCAUUUUUAAUCAUUCAAAAUAAUUGAAACAUAUCUAUUUGGCUAGAUUCUUAAGGAAAACUAUAAGAGAAGCCUCGACAGUAUCAACAAGAAUCCAAAUUUGUGCCCAUGAGUACUCAAAUAUAGCCAUAUAGGUGGCAGGACUAUAUAUCCACUCUCCCAACCAAAUGAGUUAGGCUUAAAAAAUUUUUAGUCGCAUUUGGGCUUUAGAACAUUUGUUUUGUUCAUAAUCAAUUAAUCUGAAAUACACGAGACAACUAAUAUCUUGCCCACACAAGUGUGCGGACCAUGUGGCUAGUUGUUUAUAACUUGACAAUAAAAAUAUAUUUGAAACAAUCAAUGUAUUUCUCAAGCACUCAUAGUACAUGCCCUCACAUUUGCGAGGGCCACCAUGCUAGUUCAUUAUAAAACUAUUAUACCAUUGAAAAGUCUUAACGGAUACAAAUUCAGGAACUGUUUAUGGUAAAAGUCCCUGGGUCAAAA